rnacentral:rRNA from 1 species
AGAGGGUGCUAGCGUUAAUCGGAUUUACUGGGCGUAAAGCGUGCGUAGGUGGUUUGAUAAGUCGAUUGUGAAAGCCCCGGGCUUAACCUGGGAAUUGCGGUCGAUACUGUCAGACUCGAAAACGGUAGAGGGAGGUGGAACUCCAGGUGUAGCGGUGAAAUGCGUAGAUAUCUGGAAGAACACCGAUGGCGAAGGCAGCCUCCUGGGCCUGUUUUGACACUGAGGCACGAAAGCGUGGGUAGCAAACAGGGAUUAGAUACCCUGGUAGUCCACGCCGUAAACGAUGAGAACUUGACGUUGGUUUGCUUAGCAAAUCGGUGUCGUAGCUAACGCGAUAAGUUCUCCGCCUGGGGGAGUACGGCCGCAAGGUUG